CAACUUCUUAGAGGGACAAGUGGCGUUCAGCCACCCGAGAUUGAGCAAUAACAGGUCUGUGAUGCCCUUAGAUGUCCGGGGCUGCACGCGCGCUACACUGACUGGCUCAGCGUGUGCCUACCCUACGCCGGCAGGCGCGGGUAACCCGUUGAACCCCAUUCGUGAUGGGGAUCGGGGAUUGCAAUUAUUCCCCAUGAACGAGGAAUUCCCAGUAAGUGCGGGUCAUAAGCUUGCGUUGAUUAAGUCCCUGCCCUUUGUACACACCGCCCGUCGCUACUACCGAUUGGAUGUGCGGGAGAGCGUUCCAGGGGCCGGUCGUGC
rnacentral:ncRNA from 1 species